rnacentral:rRNA from 1 species
CCCGAGUGCUUGCACUCAAUUGGAAAGAGGAGUGGCGGACGGGUGAGUAACACGUGGGUAACCUACCCAUCAGAGGGGGAUAACACUUGGAAACAGGUGCUAAUACCGCAUAACAGUUUAUGUCGCAUGGCAUAAGAGUGAAAGGCGCUUUCGGGUGUCGCUGAUGGAUGGACCCGCGGUGCAUUAGCUAGUUGGUGAGGUAACGGCUCACCAAGGCCACGAUGCAUAGCCGACCUGAGAGGGUGAUCGGCCACACUGGGACUGAGACACGGCCCAGACUCCUACGGGAGGCAGCAGUAGGGAAUCUUCGGCAAUGGACGAAAGUCUGACCGAGCAACGCCGCGUGAGUGAAGAAGGUUUUCGGAUCGUAAAACUCUGUUGUUAGAGAAGAACAAGGACGUUAGUAACUGAACGUCCCCUGACGGUAUCUAACCAGAAAGCCACGGCUAACUACGUGCCAGCAGCCGCGGUAAUACGUAGGUGGCAAGCGUUGUCCGGAUUUAUUGGGCGUAAAGCGAGCGCAGGCGGUUUCUUAAGUCUGAUGUGAAAGCCCCCGGCUCAACCGGGGAGGGUCAUUGGAAACUGGGAGACUUGAGUGCAGAAGAGGAGAGUGGAAUUCCAUGUGUAGCGGUGAAAUGCGUAGAUAUAUGGAGGAACACCAGUGGCGAAGGC